CUGCACCCGGCAAGGGCUGCGCUUCUCCCGGCCCAGGAAGGGCCCUUCCCUUCCCGCCCCGGCCCCCUGGCUCCGCCCCGGUGCGCCCGCCUCAGGCUCCGCCGCCAUGCCGGGCGGUGCGCGGGGCCUGUACCGGCGGAUCCUGCUGCUGCACCGGGCGCUGCCGGCCGCGCUGCGGGCGCUGGGGGACCGCUACGUGAAGGAGGAGUUCAGGAAGCAUAAGGCCGCCGGGCCCGCCGAGGCCCAGCGCUUCCUGCGGGAAUGGGAGCUGUUGGAAUUACCCAAAUGGGUCAGAAAACCGAACUGUCUGAUGCAAGAAAAAAAUGUUAACAAGGAUAAUCAAAUAACCUGUCACAUCUAUGCUCACAAUUUAUUCUGUAAAGGGGCAAAUCUAUCUGGAAGAAGCAAGGAUUAACGUGAGCCACUUGCCUAUCUCACACCACCAACCUUUGCAGCAAAGCGAACUGUGAAAUCCUGCCUGCACCACUUGGCAUCACUGGCCUUCUGCCACAAGAAACAAAAGAAAGACAAGCCAGUGCAAAAUGAGGGCUGCAGUAUUCACAUCAGGAAAGAAGUAAAUAAUAUGUUCUGCUUUCCUCAGUAUUAGUUCAGCCACAGCAGAAUUUUGCCCACAAGACACUCAGACAUCACGGAGACAGUGCUGCAAAAAGACUUGGGCAGACAGACGAAUUGACAGUUUUGCUCCAAUGUGCAUUUGUGGCUCCAGUUCUUGACCAAGGAUCCUCUUUGGGACAAAGCAGGUCUCGUGCCCAGUGGAGUACAAUGUUGGGAGGGAUGUGGUCCAUGAGCUGGGAAGCAGGGCUGGCUUUCCCACAAAGCGCAGUCUACACCACCACGAGCGGUUUGCGGCAGAGCUGAAGGAAGCAGAGUUUGCAGAAAAAAAGUGUUGUGCUCAGGUGUGGAAGCCCAUGAAUGCACUGAAGGGAGAACAUGUGGAGGCAAACAAGUUCUCCUGGGGGCAGUGAGCAGUUUUUCUCUCCAAUGGAUGUCAUGACAAAGAGCCUUCUACGCUCACUAGCUGCAAACAAAUCUGACUCUGCUAGAUUUUUCACCCCAUUGCUUCCACAGGACUGAUACCUUGCUUGUGACCGUGCAUUACUGCAGUGGAGUUUGCCGGUAUGGACAGAGCUCCCGAGUCCCUUUGGUGAAUGAAUGGGGAGCAGCCCCCUUACAGUGUGAGUAAGGAUGCAUCUUCCCCAUAACAUUGAGCUUCAGGAGAUCUAACAUAUCACAAAAGAGACUGAAACACCAUUGUGAUGACACGCUGUAAGGAUUAGCAUACAAUUAAAUCAGUUUCUGGGUUUGUGGCAUCUAUUGAAAGACAGAUAUAGAGUUACAAUUAUUAAAACAAUUUUGUUUACUGUUAUUAUUUCCGUUUUAAAAUGGAAAACUUUAUCCUAUUUAGUCUUUGAGUUGGUGGCUCUGAGCAUCUCAUGAGCUUCAUACUGAAGACUUUGUGGAAAGAGCAGAUCUUCAAACAACAGUCAAGGACGUGAUCAAGUCUAAUAAGUGCCUUUUCUGCUAACUAACUUGCUUUUCAUGUUGUGCUUCCUUGAUAAGCUACGCUACGCCUUCAAAGGCACCCUUCUAUUUGUAUCUGUUUUUCAGGCUUCCCUCUUAUUUUAUUUUUCAGCCAUUGUAGUUAAACUCUUUGGAGCAGGUCCCACUGACACUAGGUACUGCAACAUGCUCUGCUAGUGAAUGGCAAGGCAGAGAGUACUGAACACUCAAACACAACUCUGGGCAAAACACAAUGUGUUUUCAGGUUGUUCGGACAUUUUUGCUCUAAGAUAUGUAUUUCAUAAAAAGCUGCACAGAUUGGAGUUUAUUUCUUUUCCAUUAUUCAUGUGCACUAGAGACAUCCUGCCUGAAGAAGGCUUAUUGAACAAAACUGAUUCCCCCCAAUGUGCACAGCAUGGGAACAGUCUCCUGAGUGACAGAGGAAUAUACAAAUAACAGCUUGGCAUUAAACUCAGUUUUCUUUGUUUGUUCACAAUAAAAUAAGUUGUGAAGGGCUAAGAUGUAUUGGUUUUCUAAACAACAGUUUCAUGGAAUCCUGGCAGAACUACUUUUUUAUUUUUCUUGUACUUUCAACCUGAGGCAGGAGCAGCUCCUGGUUUUAGGUUUCAGACAAGUCCUCACAAGGCAUGUGUUGGUUAUUGUCAGUCUGAUGGGCCACAUGGUCAUCCGGGGCUGUCUCCUGAACACCAGGGAGAACUUCAAGAGAAAAGCUUGCAAACCUUGUUGUCAGUAAGGUUUAUCAUGGUGUCUCUCUCACCACCUCCUCUCCUGUCUUUGUUCACUGACAAGAUGCAUGUUCUUUUCAAAGACCACAGCCUACUUAGUGUUUAGAACAGAUGUAAAACAAAGCGGGGUGCGGUGGUUCCUAGAACAACCUCUGGCAAACUAGAAAUGAGGUUUUGCAGUGCAGUGAACCGCAGCUGCUUCAGUGCAUGGCGAAGUACAGCACAUGGGGUCUGUCUCCAGCUGCAGACAGCACUGUGUCUCUGGGACAUGGGUUUAUAGAUUGUUUGUAGUUCAGGCCAACAUCUCCAAAUCAUGUUGCUUAAAGAUACAGCACAUAGUUGCUUUAUUAAGUUAUCAAGACUUACAAACUAUUAUUAAGUUUCUAAAUAAUUUUGGAACUUUCAUAAACCUCCAACCAGAGAGGUUGCAUUUGCAGUAACUCCCAUUCAUUUAUUUGCAAAGUGUUCACAUUCAGCAGGUGUGAAAUCCAGGCCACUUUUGAUUUAAAGUCAGUUCAGGAGCCUAAUUUUAGAUAUUGACUUCAAUUUCAUAUUACACAAAAGACAGACAUCUCCCUUGAAAUCCUCUCAUUGUUAGUCAGAUGAAGCCUGCCCCACUAAAGUAAUUUGCUCCUACAUAGUGUUAGAAAAGGUCCUCCUUUUCUGACCAGAGUUCUAUACAAAGGUCAAGCUCAAAUGUAAAGCAUUUAUUUCUCUGCAUCAAACUAAAUGUGACAAGAGAAGCUAUUACUCAUCACAGUUCCAGGUGAAAGAAGAUUUUCUUCAGUAAUUUGAGCAUAGGCAUCUCCAAACCUCUAGCAGAAAUGCCAAAUGAUAUGUUUUCUGUAUAUAUGAAUAAGCAUAUGAACUGCUAAAAGUGACUUAGAAAAUAUUGUUAUCAAGUCAGUAGGUGCUGUUAUUCAACAGGAUGUUGUCUGAGUUGCAUGCACAUAAGGUUUCAACUUCUUCUCAGCUUCUGGGCCUCAGAACUCUGUGGGUGGUAAUCUCUUCAUCAAUAUUUCCAACAACAUUGCCCAGUACAUUAGCGCAGAUUUCUCUUACUGUGAAACACUUGUGUAAAGAAAUACCAGGUUUCAGUCUUGCCUGUUCAAGAUCUUAGUAGCAACAGAAAAUGUGUUCUUAUAAAUUGCAAAUAAAGUGACUAAAUUGUG